rnacentral:rRNA from 1 species
UACAGAGGUCUCAAGCGUUGUUCGGAUUCAUUGGGCGUAAAGGGCGCGUAGGCGGCAAGGCAAGUCGGGUGUGAAACUCGGGCUUAACCCCGAGCCUGCUUCUGAUACGGGCAGACUAGAGGUAUGCAGGGGAGAACGGAAUUCCUGGUGUAGCGGUGAAAUGCGCAGAUAUCAGGAGGAACACCGGUGGCGAAGGCGGUUCUCUGGGCAUUACCUGACGCUGAGGAGCGAAAGUGUGGGAGCGAACAGG